rnacentral:rRNA from 1 species
GAGUUUGAACCUGGCUCAGGAUGAACGCUGGCGGCGUGCCUAAUACAUGCAAGUCGAGCGAACCACUUCGGUGGUGAGCGGCGAACGGGUGAGUAACACGUAGGUGAUCUGCCCAUCAGACGGGGACAACGAUUGGAAACGAUCGCUAAUACCGGAUAGGACGAAAGUUUAAAGGUGCUUCUGGCACCGCUGAUGGAUGAGCCUGCGGCGCAUUAGCUAGUUGGUAGGGUAAAGGCCUACACGCGACGAUGCGUAGCCGACCUGAGA